rnacentral:rRNA from 1 species
GACGAACGCUGGCGGCGUGCCUAAUACAUGCAAGUCGAGCGGACUUUCAAGAAGCUUGCUUUUUGAAAGUUAGCGGCGGACGGGUGAAUAACACGUGGGCAACCUGCCUGUAAGACGGGGAUAGCUCCGGGAAACCGGGGCUAAUACCGGAUAAUAUCUUUCUUCGCAUGAAGGAAGGUUGAAAGGCGGCGCAAGCUGCCGCUUGCAGAUGGGCCCGCGGCGCAUUAGCUAGUUGGUGAGGUAACGGCUCACCAAGGCGACGAUGCGUAGCCGACCUGGGAGGGUGAUCGGCCACACUGGGACUGAGACACGGCCCAGACUCCUACGGGAGGCAGCAGUAGGGAAUCUCCCGCAAUGGACGUAAGUCUGACGGAGCAACGCCGCGUGAGCGAAGAAGGUCUUCGGAUCGUAAAGCUCUGUUGUCAGGGAAGAACAAGUACCGUUCGAAUAGGGCGGUACCUUGACGGUACCUGACCAGAAAGCCACGGCUAACUACGUGCCAGCCGCCGCAGUAA